UAAAUUAGGAUUUUAAAGAAGAUAGAGAGAUAGAGAGAAAAAGAGAGAGAGAAUUAAAUCCUUUACGGAUAUGUAACUGAUCAAUAUUCUAUACCAUAAUUCGUCUCUCCGUGUAUCUGAUUUUUUUUAAUUUUGCUGACAAGGGAGUUAAAGCCUUCAUAAGUAGAAUAUAAGAACCAACCAUAAGGAUAGACAAAAAAUACUAGAGCGAUUGUUUACCAAACUCUGAUAGCAUAGUUUCAUGCUCGUACGUGCAGCAAAGAUUAUGAUCAACAAGGAGUAUAGAUUACUUUACAAAUAUUACCUGGUCUUUCAUUCUCUCUGAUAUCUUGCAUAUGACACUAUAGAUUACUUUAGGUUUAGAACUUAUAAUGGUGGAAAACUUGGGUGCAUUUUUGCAGUAAUAAAUCCAC
rnacentral:lncRNA from 1 species